rnacentral:rRNA from 1 species
CCGUAGCCCAAGAGAUCGGGAUAACACCUGGAAACAGAUGCUAAUACCGGAUAACAACAGAUGAUGCCUAUCAACUGUUUAAAAGAUGGUUCUGCUAUCACUCUUGGAUGGACCUGCGGUGCAUUAGCUAGUUGGUAGGGUAACGGCCUACCAAGGCGAUGAUGCAUAGCCGAGUUGAGAGACUGAUCGGCCACAUUGGGACUGAGGCACGGCCCAAACUCCUACGGGAGGCAGCAGGC